rnacentral:rRNA from 1 species
UACAGAGGUCUCAAGCGUUGUUCGGAUUCAUUGGGCGUAAAGGGUGCGUAGGCGGCGUGGUAAGUCGGAUGUGAAAUCUCGGAGCUUAACUCCGAAACUGCAUUCGAUACUGCCGUGCUUGAGGACUGGAGAGGAGACUGGAAUUUACGGUGUAGCGGUGAAAUGCGUAGAUAUCAGGAAGAACACCAAUGGCGAAAGCAGCUCUCUGGGACGGUACUGACGCUGAGACGCGAAAGCGUGGGGAGCGAACAGG